rnacentral:lncRNA from 1 species
UUCGUGCAAAGGGAAGCCAAGCUUGCUCAGUCACUCGAUCUGUUCGAUCAUGUAUAAUACAUAAUUGAUGACCGAUGCUCCCUCCCUCAUCCAAGUAUUGAAAAUGAUGCAACUAGUCUUGUACCGCUCAACGUCGUCAAAAAUAUCAAAGGACUCUCUCAACACUUGGAGCGUGUCCUCUGGCUGAGUCUCUUCGAACUUUCAACUGAAC